rnacentral:rRNA from 1 species
UACAGAGGUCCCGAGCGUUGUUCGGAUUCAUUGGGCGUAAAGGGUGCGUAGGCGGCGGGGCAAGUCUGAUGUGAAAUCUCGGAGCUUAACUCCGAAACUGCAUUCGAUACUGCCGUGCUUGAGGACUGGAGAGGAGACUGGAAUUUACGGUGUAGCGGUGAAAUGCGUAGAUAUCGUAAGGAAGACCAGUGGCGAAGGCGGGUCUCUGGACAGUUCCUGACGCUGAGGCACGAAGGCCAGGGGAGCAAACGGG